rnacentral:snRNA from 1 species
AUACUUACCUGGACGGGGUCGACGGCCGAUCAAGAAGGGCCGUGGCCUAGAUCAAUGGCUUACAUUGCACUUGGUGAGCGCGUUGGUUUACCAUCUCCCCAAGUGGGAGAGUGGACGUCAUAAUUUGUGAUAGAGGGGGUACGCGUUCGCGCGGCCCCUGC